rnacentral:rRNA from 1 species
GAUGAACGCUGACAGAAUGCUUAACACAUGCAAGUCAACCUGAACUUCGGUUUGGGUGGCGGACGGGUGAGUAACGCGUAAAGAACUUGCCUCACAGAUAGGGACAACAUUUGGAAACGAAUGCUAAUACCAGAUAGUAUGAUUAUAUGGCAUCGUAUAAUUAUGAAAGCUAUAUGCGCUGUAAGAGAGCUUUGCGUCCAAUUAGCUAGUUGGAGAGGUAACGGCUCACAAAGGGGAUGAUGGGUAGCCGGCCUGAGAGGGUGAUCGGCCACAAGGGGACUGAGACACGGCCCGUACUCCAACGGGAGGCAGCGGUGGGAAAUAUUGGACAAUGGACCAAGAGUCUGAUCCAGCAAUUCUGUGUGCACGAUGAAGUUUUUCGGAAUGAAAAGUGCUUUCAGUUGGGAAGAAAAAAAUGACGGUACCAACAGAAGAAGCGACGGCUAACUACGUG